AUUGAACGCUGGCGGAAUGCUUAACACAUGCAAGUCGAACGGCAGCACGGGGGCAACCCUGGUGGCGAGUGGCGAACGGGUGAGUAAUACAUCGGAACGUGCCCGGUCGAGGGGGAUAACGUAGCGAAAGGUACGCUAAUACCACAUACGAUCAGAGGAUGAAAGCGAGGGACCUUCGGGCCUCGCGGGACCGGAGGGGCCGAUGUCAGGUUAGGGAGUUGGUGGGGUAAAGUCCUACCAAGCCGACGAUCUGUAGCUGGUCUGAGAGGACGACCAGCCACCUUGGGACUGAGACACGGCCCAGACUCCUACGGGAGGCAGCAGUGGGGAAUUUUGGACAAUGGGCGCAAGCCUGCUCCAGCCAUUCCGCGUGCAGGACGAAGGCCUUCGGGUUGUAAACUGCUUUUGUAUGGAACGAAAAGGCUCUGGCUAAGACCUGGGGCUCAUGACGGUACCGUAAGAAUAAGCACCGGCUAACUACGU
rnacentral:rRNA from 1 species